UAGAGGCACUGCCUGCCCAGUGACUAUAGUUAAACGGCCGCGGUAUCCUGACCGUGCAAAGGUAGCAUAAUCACUUGUUCCUUAAUUAGGGACUUGCAUGAACGGCUAAACGAAGGUUCAACUGUCUCUUAUUUUCAAUCAGUGAAAUUGACCUCCCAGUGAAGAGGCUGGAAUAACCCAAUAAGACGAGAAGACCCUAUGGAGCUUAAAUUUAUAAUCUUAUUUAUAACCUAAAUUCACCUAAUGGUAUAAAAAUAAUAUUGUAAAAUUAAAAUUUUGGUUGGGGUGACCUCGGAGAACAAAAAAUCCUCCGAAAGAUUCUAACAUAGACUAACAAGUCAAAGUAACCCAAAUUCUAAAUUGACCCAAAACAA
rnacentral:rRNA from 1 species